AAAUUGAAGAGUUUGAUCAUGGCUCAGAUUGAACGCUGGCGGCAGGCCUAACACAUGCAAGUCGAACGGUAACAGGAAGCAGCUUGCUGUUUCGCUGACGAGUGGCGGACGGGUGAGUAAUGUCUGGGAAACUGCCUGAUGGAGGGGGAUAACUACUGGAAACGGUGG
rnacentral:rRNA from 1 species